CAGCCGCCGCGGUAAUACCGGCGGCCCGAGUGGCGGUCACUCUUAUUGGGCUUAAAGCGUCCGUAGCCGGGUUGGGAAGUCCUCCGGGAAAUCUGGCCGCUUAACGGUCAGAAUGCCGGAGGAUACUCCCAGCCUAGGGGGCGGGAGAGGCCGAGGGGAUUCCCGGGGUAGGGGGGGAAUCCUAUAAUCCCGGGAGGGCCACCUGUGGCGAAGGCGCUCGGCUGGAACGCGUCCGACGGUGAGGGACGAAGGCCAGGGGAGCAAACCGGAUUAGAUACCCGGGUAGUCCUGGCUGUAAACGAUGCGGACUUUGUGUCGGACAAGCUAUGAGCUUGUCCGGUGCCGGAGGGAAACCGUUAAGUCCGCCGCCUGGGGAGUACGGCCGCAAGGCUGAAACUUAAAGGAAUUGGCGGG
rnacentral:rRNA from 1 species